rnacentral:rRNA from 1 species
UAACGAAUAUUGGGCAAUGGGCGCAAGCCUGACCCAGCAAUGCCGCGUGCAGGAGGAAGGCGGCCUUCGGGUUGUAAACUCCUGUCAGAGGUGAAGAACGCCCGCAAGGGCUUGACGGUAACCUCAGAGGAAGCCCCGGCUAACUACGUGCCAGCAGCCGCGGUAAUACGUAGGGGGCGAGCGUUGCUCGGAAUUACUGGGCGUAAAGGGAGUGCAGGCGGCCGGUUAAGUCGAAGAUGAAAUCCCGAGGCUCAACUUCGGAACGGUCUUCGAUACUGAUCGGCUUGAGGCUAAUUGAGGAGAGCGGAAUUCCCGGUGGAGCGGUGAAAUGCGUAGAUAUCGGGAGGAACACCAGAGGCGAAGGCGGCUCUCUAAACUAGUCCUGACGCUGAGACUCGAAAGCUAGGGGAGCAAACGG